rnacentral:rRNA from 1 species
GGAUGAGCUCAAAUUUAAAAUCUGGCGUCUUUCAGGCGUCCGAGUUGUAAUCUAUAGAGGCGUUUUCCGCGCCGGACCGCGUCCAAGUCUCUUGGAAUAGAGUAUCAAAGAGGGUGACAAUCCCGUACUUGACGCGACAACCGGUGCUCUGUGAUACGUUCUCAAUGAGUCGAGUUGUUUGGGAAUGCAGCUCUAAAUGGGUGGUAAAUUCCAUCUAAGGCUAAAUAUUGGCGAGAGACCGAUAGCGAACAAGUACCGUGAGGGAAAGAUGAAAAGCACUUUGGAAAGAGAGUUAAACAGCACGUGAAAUUGUUAAAAGGGAAACGAUUGAAGUCAGUCGUGUGAAAGGUAUUCAGCCGUCUCUGGCGGUGUAUUUGCCUUUCACGGGUCAACAUCAGUUUGAUCCGGUAGAAAAAGGCAGGAGGAAGGUGGCACCCUCGGGUGUGUUAUAGCCUCUUGUCAUAUGUGCCGGACCAGACUGAGGAACGCAGCUUGCCGCAAGGCCGGGGUUCGCCCACGUACAAGCUUAGGAUGUUGACAUAAUGGCUUUAAACGACCCGUCUU